rnacentral:lncRNA from 1 species
GAACAGGGGUGACACCACCAGGUUUAUUGGGAUGGAGCUGGGGGACCCCAAAACCGCAGGGACAGUCGGACGGAGCGUCAGUCGGACAGAGGGACAGACAGGACAGUGUCACUGCACUGUGGCCAUGGGCUCAUGAUGGUCACUGCGGUCAGGAACUGUCCCCAGGGUGGUCACUGUGGUCACUGUGGUGGUCACUGCGGUCAGGAGCUGUCCCCAGGGUGGUCACUGUGAUGGUCACUGUGGUCAGGAGCUGUCCCCAUGGUGGUCAUGAUGGUCACUGUGGUGGUCAUUGCUCCAUGGUGGUGUCCUCAUGAUGGUCACUGUGGUCAGGAGCUGUCCCCAUGGUGGUCACUGUGGUGGUCACUGUGGUCACUGUGGUCAGGAGCUGUCCCCAUGGUGGUCACUGUGGUCACUGUGGUGGUCACUGUGGUCAGGAGCUGUCCCCAUGGUGGCUGUGAUGGUCACUGUGAUGGUCACUGUGAUGGUCACUGUGGUGGUCAGUGCUCCAUGGUGGUGUCCCAUAAUGGUCACUGUGGUCAGGAACUGUCCCUAUGGUGGUCACUGUGAUGGUCACUGUGGUCAGGAGCUGUCCCCAUGGUGGCCAUGGUGGUCAGUGUGGUGGUCACUGCUCCAUGGCGGUGUCCCAGGGUGGUCAGUGUGGUGGCCAGGGUGGUCAGUGUGGUGGUCACUGUGGUCACUCAGUGCUCCAUGGCUGUGUGCCAGGGUGGUCACCACGAUGGUCA